rnacentral:rRNA from 1 species
CCUACGGGCGACAGCAGUAGGGAAUCUUUCACAAUGGGCGAAAGCCUGAUGGAGCAACGCCGCGUGCAGGAUGAAGGCCUUCGGGUUGUAAACUGCUUUUAUAAGCGAGAAAUAUGAUGGUAACUUAUGAAUAAGGAUCGGCUAACUACGUGCCAGCAGCCGCGGUCAUACGUAGGAUCCGAGCAUUAUCCGGAGUGACUGGGUGUAAAGAGUUGCGUAGGUGGCAUAAUAAGUAGCUAGUGAAAUCUGGUGGCUCAACCAUUCAGACUAUUAGCUAAACUGUUAAGCUCGAGACCGUUAGGGGUAACUGGGAUUUCUAGUGUAGGAGUGAAAUCCGUAGAUAUUAGAAGGAACACCAAUAGCGUAGGCAGGUUGCUGGGACGGUUCUGACACUAAGGCACGAAAGCGUAGGGAGCAAACGGGAUUAGAUACCCGAGUAGUC